AUGGUGGUGCAGGCAGCCGUGACACCAACCAGGAGCCGAAAAUUUCUCUUCAAAAUACCAUAUGGAUCUCUGAGAAGACACAGUGCAGAAAGGGUAAGCAGCUAUUUUUUGUGUACAUAUUAUCUCACACACACACACCCCCGGUGGAUAUAUCCUGCUCCCCCUUUAUACCCAUGAUGCUUUAACCUUAGGCUAUCAUAAGGUAUCAAAGCCAAGUGAUGCCUUUAUAUGGUGAUGCAAUGCAGACAGCCAAGCAAGCUGACUACAUAUAAUAAUAACUAAAACUGGUUGGAAGUUGCAGGCUUGAUAGCAUAAAACUUAUGUGGGCUAUUCUGGUCUUUAUGCCAAAUCAGUAGUUAUGAUUUACUGGUUGUGGCUGUAUGCUAAUAACCACUAAUGAAGAUUAGCUAAAAUUGUAAUCAGUAUUAGUGCCGGUUGGCCAUGAUUUAUUAUGGUAACUGGCGCUAAUGGAAUUUCCCUUACAGUGCCAAGUGAUCGAUAUUGGGCAGGGCUAUAGGAAGAUGAAGAGUGGUAGUCAAGGCUAGAACGGGUAGGGAGGGCAGCUAAUCUGUAUUCCUGGAGGUUCUAAGGCAGCAACUACUGCUUUGGGAUACAAGAUGAUGUAUAGGAUUAUUCCAUUCUAGAAGCAAUGUAUGAAGUAGGACUUAGAAAGGUUCUGAAAUACGAAGCAAUGUGCAUUAUUUAGCUUGAAGUUCAAGUUUACUUGGGAAAUGUCCUAUAGUUCACCUUGUUGCUUUACACUGUCCUCAGGAAGUGGUUGCCAGCUACUGGAUAGUUGUAGAUCCUCAUAUAUUCAGGCCAGGCGUGCCACCUUGCCCCCGUGACAGCGGGUGACCGGGGCAUGUGCAUGCAGCUGUGUGAUGUUGGCAUGCCUGUGGUGUGCCGAUGUCACUUGCAGAAAUCACAGGGGCGUGCCAACAUGACAUACACAUGCCCCACAGUGUGCACAUGCCGCCAAGUGGAGUGAGGGGGCAGCCCUUUCAUUUAAAUUUUGUGGUUGCCUGGGCACCUAAGGCCAAACAUAGUCUGCACUUAUGAUUCAGGCUAACAUACUGAUUACGAGGCACAAGCUUUUGUGGGCUUAGGCCAUAAUAAAUGGCCAAAUCUUUUAAAGUGCCACAGCUCUCUUCUUUACUUUUUGGCUACUCCCCCCCCCCCCACUACCACUGCUGUAGUGGGGUAUUUUGUUAUACACAAGAGCCAUGUUGGGGACCUGCAGAGGAGACCUGUUUCAAUAUGCAGAUCUUUUGAUAGGUAUUUCUUUUGAUCUAUAUGGAAUUACACUGAAAGAGGAGUACUCAUGCUUCUCAUGCCCCUUCGUAGAAUCUAGAGCAGGGUUUCCCAAAUUUGGGUCGUCACCUGUUUUUGGAUUACAACUCCCAUAAUCCCUAGCUAGCAGGUCCAUUAGUAUCAAAUGCGUGAGCAGGGCUCAUUUUCACUGUGUGAUUUUUGUGUGAGGAAGGAAAGGUGAAAAGUAGGCAAUUCCUUGAAAAAGUGAAGGCAGUGUCCACCUGAGCAUCUGUAUAUGAGUGUUGGGGAAGGAGGAUUUGCUUUGUGGAAAACUGCAAUGUUAAGGCAGCUUCGGUAUGAUUCAGUUCUGUGCAAAAUCUGAAGGUGUUGCAGCUCCUUUGUGUUCAGCAGUGGUGGCUUUAUAAUACUUGGUUGCUGCUACUGAAUGAUAACUGAGAGGAGGGUGCUUGCUUGCAAAUGGAUGGCAGCAGUGGAGAGGGGGCAGAUGUCUUCAUAGUGCACCUAGGCAGGGGUUCUCCAAGGCCAGCACACGUCCCUAUGGGUGAUGCCAUUAGUGGUGGAUGCUGAUCUCUGAGGACCAUUCCUCAGGCACACCACACUAGUGCCUGUGCUGUCUUAUCUCCUUUUACCUCCCUCCCACCCACCAUUCUCUGGCUAUCUCUGCAAUGUUUUAGCAUGCUCCUCUCCACAUUGGUUUCUGUUCAAUAUCACCCAAGCAUCACAGUGAAAUAGCACAAUGAAAGAAGGAGAGCUCUGCAUGUGUGCAGCCAUGAAACAGCUGGGCAGAAGAGAGGCAAUGACCUAAUAAAAACUGAGUGAGUAAAUUCAGAGCUUUGGGUUAAUUAUGCUGUGAACUGUCCAAAAACCUAGAAGACAUAUGAGUUGAGACUGGAACACAGUGCUAACCUAUCCAAGAUCCAGGAGCCUCGGGCAGUGGGGCUGCCCUCUGCAAACAUGGCAGCUGUGCAGCAACUGCCAAGCUUGUCACAUCCUGCCGUUGUUUCAUGGCUUUUGCUCAGUUAGAGCAGCUGAGCACCACUGCACACUCGUGACUUUGUGAGGGAAACCAUCAAUGUCAUGAAGCUGAUUAAGCAGGGUUCCCAAGGAGACAAAACCUUGAACCUCAGUCAUCUGGCUAAAAGGGGUCUGAUCAAAAGGACCUUUUCCUAACAACAUGCUUCUUUCAUUCCCUUCUUUUAAAAAAUAGCACAUUAGUAGGCGAAAGGAAGGUUUUGAAUUCUUAUUUUAGGGAGGGAGGGAGGGAGGGGAGAGAGAGAGAGAGAGAGAGAGAGGAAAGAAUUUUUAUUUUAGUGUUUCUAGCAAGGCUUCUGUGCAUUUAGCAAGGUUUCCAGAAAAGGUGGCAAUCACCUUCCAAAGGCAUAUGUGUCAGGGAGCCAACCAGCAAUAAAUCACAUGGGGUAUGUAAGUUCACUCUUUAUUGGCGGAAACUAGGCCUGCUCAGGUAAGCCUGGCCUAAUGAGCACAGCGACUCUUCUUGGUAGGUCUUGCCCCUCUGGGGCAGUUGUGGAGGCUGAAGAUCCCCGCCUUCCCACAGCUACCUAAAUCUCUUCCUCCUCCAGGUCCUUCCUACAUAGUCUGCAUCUAUGCCAACAGGCCUGUUUCUAGGGGAGGGGGAGACACCUUGACUUCUUCACCAGCUUGCCCCACUUCUGCCUCUUGGUUUCCCUCCUCUGCUCACUGAGCCCCGUUACCUCUUCAGCUCCCCCCUCCUCCCAGUCUUCUCCCUCUGACCACUCAUUGUUGUCCCACCACCAAUCCCUGGACUCUGAGCCUUCUUCCCCUGGGGCUUUCCCAACUGCUUCCUCCCCCCACGCCUCUGUGUCCAGCCAGUCCAUGACAUCAUAUCAUCUUAAAAUAAAACUCUAGAGAUUGGGAAGCCAGAAAAUCCAAAUAAAACCAGGCUUGUGAAGUUAUGGUCAGGAUGGCCUUUGAACUGCCAUGGUUCUUUGUGUUAAAGUUUGUGAAAUUGCAAAGUGAGGUGAAUAAAGCCCGAGCAAUGUUCUGUUCUCAGUUAUAUGAAUGAACCUUCUUCUGGCGUGUUCAUUAAUGCCUUUCCCAUUGAGCCAGAUGCUUACCUGAGUAAACCUUAAGGAGAUAAAUGGCACACAGAGGAUGGCGGGCAGAGGAUCAACUUGCAUUAGUUUCACGAAUGUUUGCAUGGCAUUUAAAAAGAGACAACAAACACCAGCGCCUUAACUGUCCCUGACUGACCCUCCAUCUGGACAGCAUUAAUUAGCUGAUUACUUCCUCCCACUAUGGGGAGGAAGAGGAGAAGGAAAGAUCAGGGGAGAGGUUUCAGAAGUCAUCUGAGGAGAAACGGCUCCUGCCAUUUAGGGAUGUGGGAGAAAUUCAACAGAUUUAAUGAAAAACUACCUGAUCCACAUUUCUUGAACCUCUACAGGAAGCACACAUAUUCUUCAAAAUUCACACUUCUCCAAAUUUUGUGAUGCAGUUCUCCAGUUGAACAAUGUGGCAAAAAUUGCAUAUAUUGGUGAAAAUAACACAGCAUGCAUUAUAUUAGCAAAAAUUCAAUGAAAAAAAGUUUAUUAGUGAAAAUUGCAUGCUAAAAUCUCUAUAUUAGAAGAAAUUUGCACUUUAGUGCUGACAAAUUUUCAGGAGGCUUUUAAAAAAUCGCCAUUUCCCAUGGAAAUGUGUAGAACUGAAUUAAGAUGGGGAAAAUUAGAAAUUGAGAGAAACCAACAUUGCAGUCAUCCAUCCCUAUUUCUCUCUGUGUGUGAAUGUGCAUGUAUCUGUAUAUUCAUAGAAGAAACAUUUGAUUGUGUAGAAGUAGACAUUUGCUCUGAAAAAUAGCAUGUAUUUGGGAAAGAUUGGUAAAAUAAGCUGGGGCCAUCAAGCUAAAUGAAAGGCAUAAUCUUGGGACCACUGCCAAGUAGGGAUGGGAAAAAAUUUUGCGCAAGCAGGAAGUGUGGCCUUUACUCCCCUUUCUUUCUUUUGCAAUGUACGACCAGAUUAACUUUUUCCACUCACAUAUGGCUUUUUGGGAACUCUUUUUGUUGUGGGAGUGUGGAGGCCAAUCACUUAAAAUAUGUAAUAGUUACGUAAUGUCCACAUUUGUUUUGGAAUCUCAGUUUUAAUGUUUUUCACAUACUGUAGCACUUUUGCAUUUUGUAUGUUUGAUGCGGCUUCCCAGAGUGCAGCGUGGGGUGUGGCUCUUUUCUGUGUAGUCCUGUCUGCCUUUUGUAUUCUUCUGGGGUGGGAGUGCUGUUGUUCAUCUCUAGCCUUAGGGCGGGCUACGCAACAUCUCCCAUUGGAAUAGCCUCAUAUAUCAAAGAGAUUUUCUGUUUGUGCUGCUGGCUGCUUGUGUUUUGGGGCUGUUUGACUACUCUUUUCCACUGAGGUUUGCAUGACUUUUGCCACCAUAUCUCAUGCCCACCCCCACCCCCACCCCAGUUUGCACCUGCCCAGCUGCCCUCCCGCUCCUUCCACUUGCCCAGUAGCCACCCAUCAUGUGCCCCAGCACUAGCCUGUUCAGUAGUCGCACAGCAAGCAAAGGGGCUCCUCUGGUACCAUCUUUUCCGUAUCCUGGAGGAACGGAGUAUGCGAAGACUGCAGCCGUAGGAAUGUCCAAGCUGGGGAAGCCUGAAUGGCUGCCAGAAUAAUAAUUAUUUCCCCCCACAUUAGGAUUGGGAGCGGUCGGCCAUGUGAUAACACUGCCACUGUUCCAUUCAUGUGUGGAAAGAAUAUAU
rnacentral:lncRNA from 1 species